UGUUGAUCUAAGUGAAGAAUAUCUAUAUCCUCUUCGUCGCCCUUCUCUCUGACUCUCUCUCUCUCUCAUUCUUGGGAACUUUGUCGAUCGAUCUGGUCGAGUUUGCUCGCUCAUCUUCUCCACAGCCCAUUUCGGAUCCUCCGAUUUUAGAAUUUCCGGGAAAAUCUGGGUUUGGCUCGCGAAAUCGUGGCAUUUAAGGAGCGAAGAUGAGGUCAGUUCAUGCACCUGUUGUUUGCCCGGCUGUUCGUCCCAGACAAAUGAAUGCCUGUACUUCGCUUGUUAGCUACUCUGCCUCAAACACUAAGUUUCUUAGAAGCCGAUUCUUGGGCAGCCCUGCAAAAGUUGUCAAGGCCCGGGCUUCCACCGUCCAUCUAAGGUUGCAUCUUCGUCGAUGCAAGAGUAUACAGUGUGUUUUCAGUUCACAUUCUGACGGUUCUGGGAGUACUGCUGAGAAUUUCAACGAAAAUAAUGAAGAGUAUGUUAACUCUAGUGUGGUGGAAGCCGUUGAGGUGAGGAGUGGAGCUGAUGGUUUCAUGGUAAAGAUGAGGGAUGGCAGGCAUUUACGCUGUGUCCAUAACAAUCCUCAAGGAGGGCAUCUACCAGAUUAUGCUCCACACCCUGCAAUUGUUUUGAAAAUGGAAGAUGGAACCGGUCUUCUCCUUCCAAUUAUCGUGUUGGAGAUGCCGAGUGUGUUGCUUAUGGCAGCUUUGACGAAUCUCCAAAUCGCAAGGCCUACUAUGUAUCAGGUGGUGAAGGAGAUGGUUGACAAGAUGGGUUAUGAAGUUAAACUUGUUAGAGUCACCAAAAGAGUUCAGGAGGCAUACUUCGCACAGUUGUUCCUUUCAAAGGUUGGUAAUGAAUCCGAUUGCAUCAGCUUUGAUCUCCGGCCUUCAGAUGCUAUCAAUAUUGCCGUGAGAUGCAAGGUACCUAUCCAAGUUAACAAGUACUUAGCAUAUAGUGAUGGGAUGCGUAUUAUCGAAUCAGGGAAGCUCAAUACACAAGCACCUGCUUCCGAUGGGUUAUUAUUUACUGAAUUGGACCGUCCUACUUCUCAGCCUUGUCUAGAUACAAAAGAGUUUAAUCUUUUGAGGAACAUGAUGGAAGCUGUUGAUGAAGAACGAUAUGACGAAGCUGUGUGGAGAUGGGUGUCAAAUCAGAAACGUUUUUCUGAAGUUUUUACCUGUAAAGCUGGGUAUUGAUCAGUGACUAUAAGCUGAGUGGAGAGACAAGCUUGGACAGCUUCGGGCGAAACGGAACUUGAGGAAAUAUACAUGAGAGAGCUUGAAGAAGGUAGCUAUUGUACAUAAUAAUAAUAGUCAAGAAGCCAUUUGUGGGGGGAGAGGCUUGGAACAAGUGAAGGAGAACAGGAGAUGCUCUCUCGAACUUCUACACUUGUUUGCCUUAGUGAAACAAGAAGAAAAACAAUGACUGUAUGUCAUGUGUGUGUAUGUAUGUGUCACUUGUUAAUAUAUGUUUGGACUUUAAACACGAUUAGUGCGUUCUUUAUCUCUAAUUAAUUAAGAACAGAUUAAGAAUUAA